GACGAACCGUGCGAACGUUGUUCGGAAUCACUGGGCUUAAAGGGCGCGUAGGCGGUUUGCCAAGUCAGGGGUGAAAUCCUGCAGCUCAACUGUAGAAGUGCCUUUGAUACUGGCGAACUCGAGGGAGGUAGGGGUGGGUGGAACUUCUGGUGGAGCGGUGAAAUGCGUUGAUAUCAGAAGGAACGCCGGUGGCGAAAGCGACCCACUGGAUCUCUACUGACGCUGAGGCGCGAAAGCUAGGGGAGCAAACGGG
rnacentral:rRNA from 1 species